rnacentral:rRNA from 1 species
CAAGGUUGACCUCGGAUCAGGUAGGGAUACCCGCUGAACUUAAGCAUAUCAAUAAG